UGCUGGGUAUUCAAAGGACAAUGCGAUAUAAAUUCGGUAUCUGGCAUCAUUGGUUUUCUUGGUUUUGUGCAUAUUAAAUCUGGUAUUUUUACUGAUACAAUA